rnacentral:lncRNA from 1 species
GUCCUAAUAAUACAACUGCUAAGAAAACUAGUAAUUGAGGAUAGAAAGGAUAAAAGAAAAAGCCUCAAGCCAAUUCGAGGGAUGUGGAGAAAGUAAAAAGGAAUUAGCAAGAGUUUGGAUAAUAAUAAGUUGCGUUUUCUUUGGUAAAGCCACUUAGAAAAGGUGAAAUUUGCAUGAGAUAAUCAUGUUUGUGAGACCGGAACAACAUCAUUGUUAUUCUAUCCUUAAAAUAAAAUAGCUGGAAAAAAUUGGCCGGACGAGGGAACAACCCAACAAUCACCAUCCAGGCGCGUUGCGUUUGGCACCUCCUUCCUAUGAAAAAGUAUACACAUUCCACAACACCAUGUGCGCAGUAUGCAACGUACCUAGCCGUCACCCAACUAUAGCGUAAGAGACGCUUGCUACUCUGAAGGGCUGAGAUCUACGAAAACCGCCAUGGCCGUAGAGGCAGAGGCGCUGAAUGAAUUUUCAUUAAUUUAGAUCACUAAUCAUUUACCAUUCAAAUGCCGCUCCAUUCAACUCAACCAUAUUCACUUAAGGAGUUUUCGUAAGAAAUGGCUUAUCAUUGUCAUCAUACCAUUCAAACAUCAAUACACACCACACAUACACACACACACAAAUGUACACAAGCAUGCACACUCAUACACAUAUAUAAACGCAUGUUUACAUAAAUAGUUAUAAAAUUUACAUAUAGUUUUACGCAUAAAUAAUGCAACUGUCAUUCUCACCAUCUCUAUCCAACUCUACCUACCAUGUACUAUAUACUGUAUUAUACAAUGAAUGCUAUAUGCCCGCUUAUACUGUAGCUGCCUUGUCGCCCGCCCCAUUUGUCCAUGGUAUAGUAUUCCGCACAAUUCUUUACCAGAAUAGAAAUGAAAUAUAGAAAACAUGCCUUUUCAGAAGCGUUUCUCACACUUUCAACAAAUGUCGUCCAGCCCAUCUGCCAAAUUCUCUUACCAAACUAGUCUUGAUUAUGGCCAUCCGUCCUCGGUAAUCGAAUAUUUCGUCCAAACAGCGACGCUUGGCCAUCAAAAAAUUUAGUGGAUGACAAUAAUCUAUGUAACAAAUAAUACGAUAAAAUUGCCAUGAUGAGUAACAAAACAACAAAGGCAAUAAUUCAUCAACUAUUGAAUAAUCAUUUAAUGGUCGCGAAAAGGAAACAAAUAUAAUUUUCUACAAUCAAUCAUCUACAAUGACUGAUGUUAGAGCUUGAAAACGGGAUGUGAAAAAUUCAAUCAACAUGACUUCAAAUGGGGUGAGAAAUUGUAAUUAAGCAAAGGAAAAAAAUAGGCAACAAGGCAUGGUUGUAGCUGCAAUUAAGGGACUAAUGUGUCGUGAAACUCAAAAAUGUAAAAAAAAGAAUGACAAUCCCCUUGCAUAAUUGAAUUACCCGUUGAAAUUUUUGGGAAAUCCGGUUACUGCAGACGGAAGUUGAAAGUCAACUUUAUCUCGGUUCUUUUUUUCCUUUUUUUUUUUUUUUGCAACUUCCUUACCGGCACGCAAGGUCCGUCGCACUUCUGGACCAGGAGUAAACUGCUUACUUAUUGAAAGAACAAAGAAAAUUUUAACCUUUCUUUAAAUACGCUUUCUUUUCUUUUUCUUUUUUCAGGCUAUUUUUUUGCUCCUCCCGUCAUCCCUAAUAGCUAGUCGGCUUUAACGAUUAUUAUUUUAGGAGAUGCUAAAGUGCAGAUUGACGGUCUUGUUCGUAAUUUGCAAUCAGUCUAUGUCAUGAUCCCUGACCUCAGUACAGUGGAAGCUGUCUGGCUGGCAAGGGUAAAGGCUAGUAAGUACUAUCAAUUAUGUAUGUCAGUUGUGGAUGGGGAAUUAUUAUUGAGACUUUUUACAAAGUGUCAAGCUCGAGAUUUGGCCAUUACAUGUCGGUAAAGCAGCUGAACAGCGAUAUGCCGUUCAUAAAAAAGCGUCAGCACAAGUGAAAUCAAGUGUCAUGACAUGAAAGUCUAAUCGGUUAUUUGCAACAUUAACCGAAACUUGUAGAAAAUGCGCUCUUUGGCAGUUGAAAAACGCAGACAUUACAGAUGCUAUAAAUACAUAGUAUUAAAAACAUAAUAACAAAUAACAAUAACAUGUUAAUUAAUCUUGCUAUACAUAGUAACAUCUAUAAAACGCAGUGUAAACAGAAAUCAUUUUGACAUGAAUUUCUUAUGUAACAAAUGAAUCUUCCAUCUUUAAAGGGAAAUCCGAUCGCUGUGUUCUCAAGUUAUCGACUCCUUUUUCUCAUAGCAAAGGCUGAGCAAGCAAUCAAAGCUUUUGCUCCUAGGAUUAUCUAGGACGAUGCAACUUCAACAUUCGUUGAACGGACCGCAUACCCAUUUCCUAGGUUCAGGAUUUAAGCUUUGUAUUGUGUUGUGUGGUAGUACAAUUAAGCAAAAAGGAACCGAACCGUUGGGGCUGAAUAUUGUUUUUCACUAUCAAACAGGUAAUAAGAUAUAUAUGAAGCAAGCAACUUAUUUGUAAGCCUAGCUAAAUGCUUUAUCAAUAUAAACUCGAGGGAAAUAUUGGUAGCAUAGUAUUCCUUUAACUUUUCUUUUUUUUUAAAUUAAUUUUGAUUUCACUUUUUAGUUAACGAAAAGAAUUAUUUUUUAUUUAAUAAUGGCAAGCGGAGUUGUUUCAAUCCAAUAUAUUACAUUUACCAGUAAAAAAAUUCGAUACUUUCCCUCCACCGUGUUAAAUUGCUGCAUUUUUUUGCAUGUUACGGGAUGUAAGGAAAUAAUCUCAAACCAGUCAUCCUUACUUUGGUUUCCUACAUUUAAUGAGCCAUGCCAUCUAUCCUCUAUUUCAAUACCUUCCUUCCCAUUUUUUUCUGCUAAAUCGAUAUGUUGUUUUUUAAAUACUCUUUGUUAUUAGUACUAUAUAUGCACUAUUGAUUUUGCUAGCAAUGUAUUGUAUUAUUUGUAUGUUUUGUAGAAAAUAACCUACUCGCCAACCCAAAAAUACCAGUUGUUUCCGACAGCGUCAUUUAUUCAUCACACUUUUCCGAAAAUCGGCUUUACAAGUCCCGAGUAAAAGUGAAUCAAGAAACAGCUACCAUGAAUUUGAUCAACGAUUUUGAGUAACCACAGAAAAACUCAGUAUGGCCCAUUACGGUUGGAAUGGGUCGUUGUUAUGAAUGCCAUUUUCUUGUUACCGAGCGGCAAACUCCAACAGUAUAUUGUUUUGUAGCAUCGCUAAUGAAUGAUUCGUUAAGUUUGUUUUCGUGGAAUUUCAUGCUCUUCUUUUAUACCCGAAAGCCGGAUACUCGUCGAUAUACUAGAUGUGUAGUGAGUUAAUUAAUUAGCCAGAAAUUAGUGAAUGGGAGAGAUUUUUAAAAUAUCAAGAUUGAUCAUUACUAAUCAUCUUUCAUCUUUCACAAUACUUGUCAUCGAUGAUUGAUAGAGAUUGCCAAGAGACAUUAGGUAAAAUAAAACGUAACAGUUUUGACGAUCUGCUGAUUUGCUUGAUGUCAACCUUGGGUAUGUUUUCAUUAAACAUGAUUGCUGAUGGGUUUCAUAAUUCGUGAAAAAUUGAUAAAGCACUUUUCCUUAUCAUCUACACAUAAGUGAACAGGCAAAUCAAUCCGUAUUGUCUCCUCAACAUACGGAAUGUCAUUAAAACCGGUAAACUGUACUAACCGGUGAUUACGGGAUAAUAAAAAACCACUUCAUUCAUUUCAAAAACUGUUGAUAUAGUAUUCUGUAUGAUUUCAAGAAGAUAACUCUUCGGUGACUUGCUGUUUAUUGCUCACCUGGCGAUUCUAAUUCCUUUUAUUUUUUAUCCUGAUACGUAUGUAUUUGUUUUUCCCUCUUUAGAAUAAUAUUCAUUAAGCUUGAAUAAGCGGUUAUUAGUUUGCAAAUGAUUCAGCAGCUAUAUGUGAGUUUGCCCUUUUUCACUUGUCUACAGAGUCGGGAAUUGACUUGUAAAACAAAAUAAAUGGAAUAUUGCAAAUGUAUUCUUUUUGCCUUGUGUUUAUUUAGGAGUAGUAUUGCGGAAACUUGUUUUCAGAAAACAAAGUAGCGCUUAUGCUCGGU